UUUGACCUUUUGCCGGGCCGGCAGCGCCACACCCAGAAUUCAGAAGGGCGAGGGGGCAUACCGACUUGGAAACGGCAUCAAAACAUUAUACGUUUUUAAUGUUUUAGGUGCCAAAACAUCGUUUUCCGUUGCGCUGAGACGGGAGGGAUGUUUACAGUAUACUGUUGCUGCCAGGAAAAAAGUCGAAUUUAGGGGUCAUGCUUUUGACCUUUUGCCAGGCCAGCAGCGCCGCGCUUAGGAUUCAGAAGGAAGAGGGGGCAUCCUAGCAUGGAAAUGGCAUCAAAAAAUUAUGCGUUUUUAAUGUUUUAGUUGUCAAAAACUUCGUUUUUCGAUUUCGUCUAGCAGGGAUAUUGUCAGUGUUCUCGUUGCUGUCGGAAAAAGGUCGAAUUCAAGGGUCAUGAUUUUGACCUUUUGCCGGGUCGGCAGUGCCUCACCCAGAAUUCAGGAGGACGAGGGGGCAUUCCAACAUGGAAACGGCAUCAAAACAUUAUACGUUUUUAAUGUUUUAGGUGCCAAUAACAUCAUUUUUCGUUGCGUCAAGUCGGGAAGUAGUAAUUUGCGUGGUUUUACGCUUUUAUUAAUUUAUUUUGUUCUUUUUCAAGGAUGUUUUCAGUAUACUGUUAUUUCCAGGAAAAAAGACGAAUCCAAGGGUCACGCUUUUGACCUUUUGCCAGGUCAGCAGCGCCGCGCUUAGGAUUCAGAAGGACGAAUGGGCAUCCCAGCAAGGAAAUGGCAUCAAAACAUUAUGCGCUUUUAGUGUUUUAGUUUCCAAAACUUCGUUUUCCGUUGCGUCUAGUAGGGAUAUUAUAAUUGCUACCGGGAAA